AUUGAACGCUGGCGGCAUGCUUUACACAUGCAAGUCGAACGGCAGCGCGGGCUUCGGCCUGGCGGCGAGUGGCGAACGGGUGAGUAAUGCAUCGGAACGUGCCCAGUAGUGGGGGAUAGCCCGGCGAAAGCCGGAUUAAUACCGCAUACGACCUGAGGGUGAAAGCGGGGGACCGAAAGGCCUCGCGCUAUUGGAGCGGCCGAUGUCGGAUUAGCUAGUUGGUGGGGUAAAGGCUUACCAAGGCGACGAUCCGUAGCUGGUCUGAGAGGACGACCAGCCACACUGGGACUGAGACACGGCCCAGACUCCUACGGGAGGCAGCAGUGGGGAAUUUUGGACAAGGGGGGCACCCCUGAUCCAGCCAUGCCGCGUGCGGGAAGAAGGCCUUCGGGUUGUAAACCGCUUUUGUUCGGGAAGAAAUCCUCUGGGCUAAUACCCCGGGGGGAUGACGGUACCGGAAGAAUAAGCACCGGCUAACUACGUG
rnacentral:rRNA from 1 species